CUUUGUAGAUUCCCCGUUGGGUUCUGGAUUCUCAUACUCAAGAAAAUAUGAAGGGUAUGAUGCCAACGAUACUAUUUGGUCAGAAUAGGCUUCUAAGUUUCUUUUACAGUGGCUUGUUGAGCACCCACAGUUCAUCUCCAAUCCCCUCUACAUUGCUGGGGAUUCAUAUGCUGGAAAAAUUGUACCUAUGGUGGCCAAAAGAAUAUUGGAUGGUAUUGAUGAAGGGAAAGAACCAUUACUUAACCUCCAGGUAAAUUGCUUGAAUUGAUGGGCAUGGGUUACUUGAUUGGCAAUCCAUCCACGGGUGGAAAAAUCGAUACCAAUUCUAAAAUACCUUAUGCUCACAGCAUG